rnacentral:rRNA from 1 species
CCCGCUGAACUUAAGCAUAUCAAUAAGCGGAGGAAAAGAAACUAACAAGGAUUCCCCUAGUAACUGCGAGUGAAGCGGGAAGAGCUCAAAUUUAAAAUCUGACGUGCGGUCAGCCGUCCGAGUUGUAGUCUGGAGAAGCGUUUUCUGUGUUGGACCAUGUACAAGUCCCUUGGAACAGGGCGUCAUAGAGGGUGAGAAUCCCGUCUUUGACAUGGACUACCAACGCUCUGUGAUGCGCUCUCAAAGAGUCGAGUUGUUUGGGAAUGCAGCUCAAAACGGGUGGUAAAUUCCAUCUAAAGCUAAAUAUAGGCGAGAGACCGAUAGCGAACAAGUACCGUGAGGGAAAGAUGAAAAGCACUUUGGAAAGAGAGUUAAACAGUACGUGAAAUUGCUGAAAGGGAAACGCUUGAAGUCAGUCGCAUCUGCUGGGACUCAGCCUUGCUUAUGCUUGGUGCACUUUUCCAGUUUGAUGGGCCAGCAUCAAUUUCGAUCGUUAGAGAAAGGCCUUGGGAACGUGGCACCAUUCGGUGUGUUAUAGCCCUCGGUCAUAUGUGACGGUUGGGAUUGAGGAUCGCAGCACGCCUUUAAGGCUGGGGUUUUGCCCACACACGUGCUUAGGAUGCUGGCAUAAUGGCUUUAAGCGACCCGUCUUGAAACACGG